GAGGGAAAGUUGAAAAGAACUCUGAAUAGAGAGUUAAAUAGUACGUGAAACUGCUUAGAGGUUAAGCCCGAUGAACCUGAAUAUCCAUUAUGAAAAAUUCAUCAUUAUACCUAUAAUAUUAACGUUUAAUAUUUUAUAGUGAUGGUGUGCAUUUUUUUCAUAUAAGGACAUUGUAAUCUAUUAACAUAUAAUACACAAAUAUUUAUCAGAAGAUCAUUGGUUUUAAGUUUAUUCAAAUUAAUUUGCUCUUAGCUUAUUAACAUAGAAUUAAAUACCGAAUGAUUUGAUAAAGUGUUGAUAGAUUUUAUAAUAAUAUAAUGCUAAAAUUCAUAUUUAUAUGAAUUUUACAAUAAUAUAUAUAUUUUAUAUAUUCAUUGUAUGCAUUUAUAUGAUUUACAAUGCGAAAGAUUCAGGAUACCUUCGGGACCCGUCUUGAAACACGGACCAAGGAGUCUAACAUAUGUGCAAGUCAUUGGGUUAUUUUANACCUAAUGGCAUAAUUAACUUAACUUACACAAUUUAUUUUUUGGGAUUAGUUUUUAGUCUANUUUUUAAUUAAAAUAGUUCNAUUAAUUCAAUCCCGGGGCGUUCCAU
rnacentral:rRNA from 1 species